ensembl:lincRNA
AUGCGCUCAGGUUGGCACCUGGUGAUGUUUAAUUCAGUGCCGUAUCACAGACUGUCUUGCUGUUCCCCGUGGGGGCGUGUUUUCACUGCAACAAGACUCAACAACAACAGCGACUGUAUAUCUACUUACUUACCGUAUGCCAGCCGCUUUCACAUAGUUUUCAUAUUUAAGACUCACAAAAGCUCUGCGUGCACCUGUUGCCAUCAGCUGGUCUCCCCUGGGCCCAGGAACACCAAGGAUGGCUGUCAAGAACCAGAAGCCAGGAGAGAGGUAAGGGACAGACUCAGAGCCUUCAAAAGCGGCCCAGUCCUCACAGAGCUUGAUUUCAAAUUCUUCUCGGACCCACUGAAAAUGGCCCGAGGAGAUUUUUGAAUUCUGAUAGUCAAUCUCUCUGAAGGGCAGGGUAUGAGUUGGAGUUUGAAGCCCUAUGAUGGAUGCUGUGCAUCUCAAUGGCUCCUGAUCCUAAAGCCAUCUGGGUUAGUAGGCAUCUUCAUUUCACUUAUCGUCAGAGCAUCAUACAGAGGAUUUCUUUGUAGGGAUGGAAAACGAGGAGUAUUGAGAAAAGUCAUAGAAACUAUUUGUAAAGACCUGAGAGGGAGGACAUUACUUUGUCAACAAAGGUCCAUCUAGUCAAGGCUAUGGUUUUUCCUGUGGUCAUGUAUGGAUGUGAGAGUUGGACUAUGAAGAAAGCUGAGUGCUGAAGAAUUGAUGCUUUUGAACUGUGGUGUUGGAGAAGACUCUUGAGAGUUCCUUGGACUGCAAGGGGAUCCAACCAGUCCAUCACAAAGGAGAUCAGUCCUGGGUGUUCGUUGGAAGGACUGAUGCUAAAGCUGAAACUCCAGUACUUUGGCCACCUCAUGCGAAGAGUUGACUCAGUGGACAUGGGCUUGGGUGGAAUCUGGGAGUUGGUGAUGGACAGGGAGGCCUGGCAUGCUGCAGUUUAUGGGGUUGCAAGGAGUCGGACACGGCUGAGCUACUGAACUGAACUGAAGUGGGAGGAGGCCAGGAAGUAGCUUCACUUUAGGCCCAUGGGAACAAGACUGGUCAAGAUGUUGUUGGAGUUGAAAUGAGGGAAAGAAGCUCUUGGGUUGGCAACAGGAGACAUUGGUAGGGGUGGGACUUGAGGGCAUUAUGCUAAGUGAAAUGAACUAGAAAGGAAAAGACAAAUACUAUUUGAUCACAUUUAUACAUGGAAUCUAAAAACCAAACAAACUCAUAGAAGAACAGGACAGAUUGACAGUUACAAGAGGUGGAGAGUGAGGGAUUGGGGGAAACGGGUGCAGGUGGCCAAAAGGUGCAAACUUCCAGUUAUCAGACGAGCAAGUCCUGGAAAUGUGAUGUACAGGACAGUUGUUGUUCAGUUACUCAGUCAUGUCCGACUCUUUGCAUCCCCAUAGACUGUAGCACACCAGGCUCCUCUGUCCUCCACUAUCUCCCAGAGUUCAUUCAGUUUCAUAUCCAUUGAGUUGGUGAUGCCAUCCAACUGUCUCAUCCUCCGUUGUCCCCUUCUUCUCCUGCCUUCAAUCUUUCCCAGCAUCAGGGUCUUUUCUAAUGAGCCAGUUUCUUCAUAUCAGGUGGCCAAUAUAUUGGAGCUUCAGCUUCAGCAUCAGUCCUUCCAGUGACUAUUCAGACUUGAUUUCCUUUAGGAUUGACCAGUUUGAUCUCCUGCUGUCCAAGGGACUCUCAAGAGUCUUGUCCAGCACCACAAUUUGAAAGCAUCAAUUCUUCAGCGCCCAGCUUUCUUUAUGGUCCAACUCUCAAAUCUGUACAUUACUAUUGGAAAAACCACAACUUUGACUAGAUGGACCUUUGUUGGAAUUUUUUUUUUAACAGCAUGGGGACUAUGAUUAAUAUUGUGUAUUCAAAAGUUGUUAAGAGACUAAAUCCUUUUCUCGGUAAUUUUUUAAAAGAUUUUUUUCAAUGUGGACCAUUUUUGAAGUCUUUAUUGAAUUUAUUACAAUAUUGCUUCUGUUUUAUGUUUUCUUUUGUUUUGUCCACAAAACACAUGAGAUCUUAGCUCCCCAACCAAGGAUCAAACCUGCACUCCCUGCUUUGGAAGGCAAAGUCUUAACCACUGAACAGCCAGGCAAGUCCCAAGAAAUUAAAUCUUAAAAGUUCUCAUCACAAGAAAAAAAUUGUAACUGUGUGUGGUGAUGGAUGUUAACUAAAUUUAUGGGAGUAGGUGUUUUGUAAUAUACACAUAUAUCAAAUCAUUGUGUUGUAUGCCUUAAAUUUAUGCCAAGUUGUAUGUAAA